GUGCUCGUAGUCCAGUGGAUAGGACGCAAGCCUCCGGAGCUUGAAGCGUGGGUUCGACUCCCGCCGAGCACGCCA
rnacentral:tRNA from 1 species